UACGUAGGGGGCUAGCGUUGUCCGGAAUCAUUGGGCGUAAAGAGCGUGUAGGCGGCCCGGUAAGUCCGCUGUAAAAGUCAAAGGCUCAACCUUUGAAUGUCAGUGGAUACUGCCGGGCUAGAGUCCGGAAGAGGCGAGUGGAACUCCUGGUGUAGCGGUGGAAUGCGCAGAUAUCGGGAGGAACACCUAUGGCGAAGGCAGCUCGCUGGGACGUUACUGACGCUGAGACGCGAAAGCGUGGGGAGCAAACAGG
rnacentral:rRNA from 1 species